UCAGAGCGAACGCUGGCGGUAUGCUUAACACAUGCAAGUCGAGCGAGAAAAUGGCUUCGGCCAUGAGUACAGCGGCGGACGGGUGAGUAAUACAUGGAUAAUCUGCCUUUAGGACUGGGACAACCCUGGGAAACUAGGGCUAAUACCGGAUAAGACCACAGAAUCUGCGGAUUCAGUGGUAAAAGGUGGCUUUCGGGCUAUCACCUAGAGAUGAGUCCAUGUCCCAUCAGGUUGUUGGUGAGGUAACGGCCCACCAAGCCUAAGACGGGUAGCCGGCCUUAGCGGGUGAUCGGCCACACGGGGACUGAGACACGGCCCCGACUCCUACGGGAGGCAGCAGUGGGGAAUAUUGGACAAUGGGCGCAAGCCUGAUCCAGCAAUACCGCGUGAGGGAUGAAGGCCCUAGGGUCGUAAACCUCUGUCAGUUGGAACGAUGGGUUUGUAGGUUAAUACCCUGCAAACUUGACGGUACCUUCAAAGGAAGCCCCGGCUAACUCCGUGCC
rnacentral:rRNA from 2 species